rnacentral:rRNA from 1 species
GACGAACGCUGGCGGCGUGCUUAACACAUGCAAGUCGAACGGUGAAGCGCCUUCCUUUUUGGUGGGUGUGGAUGAGUGGCGAACGGGUGAGUAACACGUGAGUAACCUGCCCCCUUCUUCUGGAUAACCGCAUGAAAGUGUGGCUAAUACGGGAUAUUCUGGGUCUGUCGCAUGAUGGGUCUGGGAAAGAUAUUGUUUCGGUGGGGGAUGGGCUCGCGGCCUAUCAGCUUGUUGGUGGGGUGAUGGCCUACCAAGGCGGUGACGGGUAGCCGGCCUGAGAGGGUGGACGGUCACACUGGGACUGAGACACGGCCCAGACUCCUACGGGAGGCAGCAGUGGGGAAUAUUGCACAAUGGGCGCAAGCCUGAUGCAGCGACGCCGCGUGAGGGAUGGAGGCCUUCGGGUUGUGAACCUCUUUCGCCAGUGAAGCAGGCCUGCCUUGUUUGUGGGUGGGUUGACGGUAGCUGGACAAGAAGCGCCGGCUAACUACGUG